rnacentral:rRNA from 1 species
AAUAUAUUUUACAUUAUAUAAAUAACGCAUAUUAUGUUACCUGCACAAUGAAUGUCAUUGUAUAUAAAAAUUUUAAUAUAAGCUUAUAUGUAACCAUUUUAAUUGAAUUCUUAAGUUUUUUAAAGUAGCAUAAUCAUUUGUUAAUUAAUUGUUAUCUUGUAUGAAUGGUGUCACAAAGUUAGAAUUGUAUCUAUUAUACAAAAUUUGAAAUUAGAAUAAUAGUGAACAUACUAUUUAGAAUAAUAAGACGAAAAGACCCUAUAAAGCUUUCACUAUAUUUUUUCUUUGUAUAUUUUAUAGUUUUUUUGGGGAAAACGUUUUUUAUUAACAAUAAAAAUUGAAUAUAAUCCGUAUAUUUUAUAAAAUUGACGGGAUUUUUUAAUAAUUUAAAAUGACAAAAUAAAUUUUAAUAAAUAAAAAUUUAUUUUUAAUAAAAUAAAAGUUUCUUUAGGGAUAACAGUUCAAUACUAAAUUAUUAGUCCAUAUAAUAUUAAGUGUUUGAUA